UCUAGGUUCGGGACAACCACUGGAAACGGUGGCUAAUACCGGGUGUGCCGAGAGGUGAAAGGUUAACUGCCUGGAAUGACUUCGCGUCUGAUUAGCUAGUUGGUGGUGUAAGAGGACUACCAAGGCGACGAUCAGUAGCUGGUCUGAGAGGAUGAUCAGCCACACUGGAACUGAGACACGGUCCAGACUCCUACGGGAGGCAGCAGUGGGGAAUUUUCCGCAAUGGGCGAAAGCCUGACGGAGCAAUACCGCGUGAGGGAGGAAGGCUCUUGGGUUGUAAACCUCUUUUCUCAGGGAAUAAGCUGUGAAGGUACUUGAGGAAUCAGCAUCGGUUAACUCCGUGCCAGCAGCCGCGGUAAACGAGGGAUGCAAGCGUUAUCCGAAAUGAUUGGCCGUAAAGCGCCCAAAGGUGGUUGUGUGUGUCUAUUUAAAAAGUGUGGUUCACCCAGAUAAGGGCGGUAAAAACUACACCUAGAGUGCUUUCGGGGCAGAGAAAAUUCCUGGUGUAGCGGAGAAACGCGUAUAUACUCAGAAAAACACCAGUGGCAAAGCUCUCUCUGUGCCGC
rnacentral:rRNA from 1 species